rnacentral:RNase_P_RNA from 2 species
UGGGCCGGCAAGACGGUCGCGUCAGUCUGCUUCGGCAGGCUGCCGAGGAACGUCCGGGCUCCACAGAGCAGGGCGGUGGGUAACACCCACCCGGGGCAACCCGCGAGACAGUGCCACAGAGAACAGACCGCCCCGCGCCGAUCCUCGGAUCGGCACGGGGUAAGGGUGAAACGGUGGGGUAAGAGCCCACCAGCGACCGGGGUGACCCGGUCGGCUCGGUAAACCUCGCCCGGAGCAAGGUCAGACAGGAAACGUUGAGGCUGCUCGCUGAGUUUCCGGGUAGACCGCUGGAGGGCGGCGGCAACGCCGUCCCGAGAUAGAUGGCCGUCGACGGUGCUCACGCACCUGGACAGAACCCGGCGUAGCAGCCGGCCCAUUCC